GCUUACUAUAUCCACAUACACCUGUGAACUGUUCUACUACUUGACGCAAGUCGAGUAUUUUUACAAACAAUGUGUAAUGAACGUCGUUUUAUUAUAACAAAAUAAAACUUUCAACAACGGAUCUCUUGGCUCUCGCAUCGAUGAAGAACGCAGCGAAUUGCGAUAAGUAAUGUGAAUUGCAGAAUUCAGUGAAUCAUCGAAUCUUUGAACGCAGCUUGCGCUCUCUGGUAUUCCGGAGAGCAUGCCUGUUUCAGUGUCAUGAAAUCUCAACCACUAGGGUUUCCUAAUGGAUUGGAUUUGGGUGUUGCGAUCUCUGAUCGCUCGCCUUAAAAGAGUUAGCAAGUUUGACAUAUAUGUCUGGUGUAAUAAGUUUCACUGGGUCCAUUGUGUUGAAGCGUGCUUCUAAUCGUCCGCAAGGACAAUUACUUUGACUCUGGCCUGAAAUCAGGUAGGACUACCCGCUGAACUUAA
rnacentral:rRNA from 1 species